rnacentral:rRNA from 1 species
GACGAACGCUGGCGGCGUGCCUAAUACAUGCAAGUCGAGCAAAUGACGAGAAGCUUGCUUCUCUGAUUUAGCGGCGGACGGGUGAGUAACACGUGGGCAACCUGCCCUACAGAUCGGGAUAACUCAGGGAAAGCUGGGCUAAUACCGGAUAAUCCUUCGAAUCACAUGUUUUUAAGUUGAAAGGCGCUUCGGCGUCACUGUAAGAUGAGCCCGCGGUGCAUUAGCUAGUUGGUGGGGUAACGGCCUACCAAGGCAACGAUGCAUAGCCGACCUGAGAGGGUGAUCGGCCACAUUGGGACUGAGACACGGCCCAAACUCCUACGGGAGGCAGCAGUAGGGAAUCUUCCACAAUGGACGAAAGUCUGAUGGAGCAACGCCGCGUGAGUGAUGAAGGUUUUCGGAUCGUAAAACUCUGUUGUAAGGGAAGAACAAGUACGUUAGGAAAUGAACGUACCUUGACGGUACCUUAUUAGAAAGCCACGGCUAACUACGUGCCAGCCGCCGCAGUAA